GAUGAACUCUUAAGCUACAUGAAGUUUGGAGGUGUGUAGUGAUGAACUCUUAAGCUACAUGAAGUUUGGAGGUGUGUAGUGAUGAACUCUGAAGCUACAUGAAGUUUGGAGGUGUGUAGUGAUGAACUCUUAAGCUACAUGAAGUUUGGAGGUGUGUAGUGAUGAACUCUGAAGCUACAUGAAGUUUGGAGGUGUGUAGUGAUGAACUCUUAAGCUACAUGAAGUUUGGAGGUGUGUAGUGAUGAACUCUGAAGCUACAUGAAGUUUGGAGGUGUGUAGUGAUGUCGUUCCCAGUCUCUUCCACUGUGUUAUAAUAUCACUGACAGUUGGCUGUGGAAUAUUUAGUAGUGAGUGGUGAAAUUUUCACGACUGGACUUGUUGUACAGGUGCUGCAUUCUAUCACAGUACCACAGUGCUGGAGUUCACUGAGCUCCUAAAAGCGAACUGUUCUUAUACUAAUGUUUGUAGGAGCAGUCUGCAUGACUAGGUGCUUGGCUUUUUGAACCUGUGGCCAAAGAAGUGAUCGGAACAUAAGAGAGGUCAAUGACUUGGAUGAGUGAAUGAAUACUUUUGGCAUUAUACAGUCAUGUGAAAAAGUUUGGGCACCCCUAUUAGUCAUAACUAAUCAUUUUUAGUUCUAAAUAUUUGGGUGU